rnacentral:rRNA from 1 species
UACAGAGGGGGCAAGCGUUGUUCGGAAUUACUGGGCGUAAGGGGCGCGUAGGCGGCCUGUUAAGUCGAACGUGAAAUCCCCGGGCUCAACCCGGGAACUGCGUCCGAUACUGGCAGGCUUGAAUCCGGGAGAGGGAUGCGGAAUUCCAGGUGUAGCGGUGAAAUGCGUAGAUAUCUGGAAGAACACCGGUGGCGAAGGCGGCAUCCUGGACCGGCAUUGACGCUGAGGCGCGAAAGCCAGGGGAGCAAACGGG